UAUCUAUUCCCUACUUUAUUCAGAUUCAAUUUUGAAAACAAUUGAUUCACUGUUUAAAAUAAAUAAUAAUUUAACAUUGAUAAAAUUAUCUGUCUUCAGAGGUCCAAGCCAAAUUUAUUACCGUUUAGCGGUACCUUCAACAAUUCAACUUAAAGAAAAGCGGUAGUUUCACAAAAUACUUUUUCUUAAUAUUUUAUUUUUGUGUCUCAUACGAAAUGAUAAAUCCAUACUUUUAUGUUGAUUUCUUAAUAUAUAAUUUUCACAAAUUAUGUCUAAAUUUUCACGAAACAGGUACCUCUCAGAAAAACCUAGACAGUCCCUUGGUCUUUAACAUAAACAGUGGGAAUUAAAAUAAAUAAAUAAAUUUUUUAUUGAUGUUAUCUAGAAGAUACUUGUAACAUAGAAAAUGAUGGAUAAAAUAAUUGUGAUUAAUGCUGUUGAAAGUCUUUUGAAUUUAGUCUCUGGUGUAAGAUCGUCAUUCAGAAGUGAAUGCAAUUGUCGUACAAGCAAUUUUGUUUUUCUCUCAUUUUAUUGUUAUGAUCUUCUGUUUCCCCAAUCUUUUUUGAUAGUUUGAUGUGAGCUUUUUUGUUAUUCACAAUGCACACAUCUAUAUUAUGUAAGGCAGUUAAAGAUAAAGUAUCUAACAAUUAAACUACUAUAAAACUACUUUAAAUUCUCACCUGCUAUUUUAUCAAUUGUAUGAAAGACAAAUGUUCUGAUAGCAAUACCCAUAUUCACAUUUUUAUUUAGAUUCUGUAAAGUGACUGAAAAUUUACUACAAUUUUAAUGUUAUUUAUUACCAUUUUAUUAUCCUUAUACGAGCGUAAUUUGCUGAAAAUUGUUGUAAACAUAAAUAUUUCUUUUAAAAUGUUCAUUCCAUUCUAAACAAGGUAUUUCCUAUUUAGGGCAACAAAAUGCAAUUUAUUUUUUUCUAUUAAUUGACUUUCCUUUCAGUUCAUUACUUUGGAUGAGUUAUAAGGAACAUUUGAACGUAGAAUCUGUUGAUCAUAAAGGUUUAGUUUCCAUUCAUCUGUUUGAGAGGAUGGUUAUAAUUCGAGAAUUUAUGGGAACGAAGUUCAUCAAUAUUGUAUAUUGAAAUUCAACAUUUAUGUAUGUCAAAUACUUUUGUAGAUUAUAUGUGUAAAAAAAACAUUAUUAAAGGUAUAAAUGUAUUUAAAUAAAUGUUUUCAAUUUA